rnacentral:rRNA from 1 species
AUAAUGGGUCAGCGACUUAUAUUCUGUAGCAAGGUUAACCGAAUAGGGGAGCCGAAGGGAAACCGAGUCUUAACUGGGCGUUAAGUUGCAGGGUAUAGACCCGAAACCCGGUGAUCUAGCCAUGGGCAGGUUGAAGGUUGGGUAACACUAACUGGAGGACCGAACCGACUAAUGUUGAAAAAUUAGCGGAUGACUUGUGGCUGGGGGUGAAAGGCCAAUCAAACCGGGAGAUAGCUGGUUCUCCCCGAAAGCUAUUUAGGUAGCGCCUCGUGAAUUCAUCUCCGGGGGUAGAGCACUGUUUCGGCAAGGGGGUCAUCCCGACUUACCAACCCGAUGCAAACUGCGAAUACCGGAGAAUGUUAUCACGGGAGACACACGGCGGGUGCUAACGUCCGUCGUGAAGAGGGAAACAACCCAGACCGCCAGCUAAGGUCCCAAAGUCAUGGUUAAGUGGGAAACGAUGUGGGAAGGCCCAGACAGCCAGGAUGUUGGCUUAGAAGCAGCCAUCAUUUAAAGAAAGCGUAAUAGCUCACUGGUCGAGUCGGCCUGCGCGGAAGAUGUAACGGGGCUAAACCAUGCACCGAAGCUGCGGCAGCGACGCUUAUGCGUUGUUGGGUAGGGGAGCGUUCUGUAAGCCUGUGAAGGUGUACUGUGAGGUAUGCUGGAGGUAUCAGAAGUGCGAAUGCUGACAUAAGUAACGAUAAAGCGGGUGAAAAGCCCGCUCGCCGGAAGACCAAGGGUUCCUGUCCAACGUUAAUCGGGGCAGGGUGAGUCGACCCCUAAGGCGAGGCCGAAAGGCGUAGUCGAUGGGAAACAGGUUAAUAUUCCUGUACUUGGUGUUACUGCGAAGGGGGGACGGAGAAGGCUAUGUUGGCCGGGCG